rnacentral:tRNA from 1 species
AGUCUUAUAUUCAAUUAUGAUUUUAAAUUGCAAAUUUAAAGGUGAAGAUAUCUUCUAGGACUU